rnacentral:rRNA from 1 species
GUUAGUUGCCAGCAUUAAGUUGGGCACUUUAACGAGACUGCCGGUGAUAAACCGGAGGAAGGCGGGGAUGACGUCAAAUCAUCAUGCCCCUUAUGAGCUGGGCUACACACGUGCUACAAUGGAUGGUACAACGAGCAGCGAUCCCGCAAGGGCUAGCUAAUCUUUCAAAGCCAUUCUCAGUUCGGAUUGCACUCUGCAACUCGAGUGCAUGAAGUCGGAAUCGCUAGUAAUCGCGAAUCAGAAUGUCGCGGUGAAUCCGUUCCCGGGUCUUGUACACACCGCCCGUCACACCACGAGAGUUUGAAACACCCGAAGUCGGCCGGCCAACCCUAUGGGAGGCAGCCGUCGAAGGUGGGUUGAAUGAUUGGGGUGAAGUCGUAACAAGGUAGCCGUAUCGGAAGGUGCGGCUGGAUCACCUCCUUUCUAAGGA